GAUUGCUUGAAUGGAGAGUUUGUAAGGGUUGGCCCCAACCCCAAGUUUGCCCCGGUUGCUGGAUAUCACUGGUUUGAUGGAGAUGGUAUGAUUCAUGGUAUGCGGAUCAAGGAUGGAAAAGCAACAUAUGUCUCCCGCUAUGUAAAGACAUCACGUCUUAAGCAAGAAGAGUACUUUGGAGGUGCCAAAUUUAUGAAGGUACAUGAGUAACAGUAAUUGAGCUGUUGGAAUUGUAGUUUAAGAUUUGCGUAACAGAUGUUCUGUUGGA